UCCGUAGGUGGAGAAUUAAGUCAGAGGUGAAAUCCUGCAGCUCAACUGUAGAAUUGCCUUUGAUACUGGUUAUCUUGAGUCAUUAUGAAGUGGUUAGAAUGUGUAGUGUAGCGGUGAAAUGCAUAGAUAUUACACAGAAUACCGAUUGCGAAGGCAGAUCACUAAUAAUGUACUGACACUGAGGGACGAAAGCGUGGGGAGCGAACAGGAUUAGAUACCCUGGUAGUCC
rnacentral:rRNA from 1 species